rnacentral:rRNA from 1 species
GAUCCUGGCUCAGGAUGAACGCUAGCUACAGGCUUAACACAUGCAAGUCGAGGGGAAACGACAUCGAAAGCUUGCUUUUGAUGGGCGUCGACCGGCGCACGGGUGAGUAACGCGUAUCCAACCUGCCCAUCACUUGGGAAUAACCUUGCGAAAGUAAGACUAAUGCCCAAUGAUAUCCCACGAAGGCAUCCGAAUGGGAUUAAAGAUUUAUCGCUGAUAGAUAGGCAUGCGUU